AGGUGGAGCAGCUGAGUAGCUUGUUGAAGAUUUAAAGUAGUGUAGUUUACCUAUGACUCUUGAAGACCUUCAGUUUUAUUUUGUGUAAUUGUGUUAGUACCCUUAUGCUCUGGCAGGAUUAGAUGGUGAUAUACCCACAUUUUCUUGGUACUUUAACAUUUUGUUGAUUUUAUUGGAAAAGACAAUAUAUAAUAUUAUCUUGGGAGACAAUGGUUUACUAUAAAACUAAAGGUGUUAUGCACCCAC
rnacentral:lncRNA from 1 species